AAUGCUCUGCUCUCCCGCUUGGGUGUUUUUGCCCCUCUCUUGGCGUUGAACGCGGUAGUGGCCAUCCGGAGUGCCAGGCCUAGGGUUCUCGGUGUCCUUCCCCGGGUCACGGGCGAGGAGGCGACUUGACUUCUGGGCGCCGAGCCCGGGCGCGCGCGCAAGCGGCUGCCGUCCCCGCUGCAGGUUCGCGUCCCGCUUUGCUCCUUGCGCAGCUCGGCUCGCGGCCGCCGGGACGGCCCGGGACUGACGGCCCCGGGACAGGGGUGACCGUCGCGGCUGCGGGAGCAGAGGCGAAGCUGAGGCCCGGGAAGAGGCGACAGCGGCGAGAGCACCCGGGGAGAGGAGGAGGUGAGAAGAUGGCGUCGGAGAUGGAGCCCGAGGUGCAGGCCAUCGACCGCAGUUUGCUGGAAUGUUCUGCCGAGGAGAUCGCAGGGAAAUGGCUGCAAGCAACCGACCUCACCAGAGAAGUAUACCAGCAUUUAGCCCAUUGUGUGCCCAAAAUCUACUGCCGGGGCCCCAACCCUUUCCCUCAGAAGGAAGACACACUGGCACAGCACAUCUUGCUGGGACCAAUGGAGUGGUAUAUCUGCGGCGAAGACCCUGCGCUGGGGUUUCCAAAGCUGGAGCAGGCGAACAAGCCUUCUCACCUCUGUGGCCGAGUGUUUAAAGUAGGGGAACCUACCUACUCCUGCAGAGACUGUGCAGUCGACCCCACCUGCGUUUUAUGCAUGCAGUGCUUCUUGGGAAGUAUCCACAGAGACCAUCGAUACAGGAUGACCACAUCAGGAGGUGGCGGCUUCUGUGACUGUGGUGACACUGAAGCGUGGAAAGAGGGUCCUUACUGCCAAAGACACGAGCUUAGCAGUUCAGAAGUUGUGGAGGAGGAGGAUCCUCUUGUGCAUCUGUCAGAAGACGUGAUAGCAAGAACGUACAACAUUUUUGCUAUUAUGUUUCGAUACGCAGUAGAUAUGCUGACCUGGGAAAAAGAAAGUGAAUUGCCGGAAGACUUAGAGGUGGGAGAGAAGACUGACACCUACUACUGCAUGCUGUUUAACGAUGAGGUUCACACCUAUGAGCAAGUCAUUUAUACUCUUCAGAAAGCUGUGAACUGUACUCAGAAAGAAGCCAUUGGCUUUGCAACUACAGUCGAUCGAGAUGGGCGUAGGUCUGUCCGGUAUGGAGAUUUCCAGUACUGUGAUCAAGCAAAGACAGUCAUUGUGAGGAACACCAGCAGGCAGACCAAGCCGCUCAAAGUUCAGGUUAUGCACUCCUCCGUGGCCGCUCAUCAGAAUUUUGGUUUGAAAGCUCUGUCUUGGCUGGGAAGUGUUAUUGGAUACUCAGAUGGCCUUCGCCGGAUUUUGUGUCAAGUUGGAUUACAAGAAGGUCCAGAUGGUGAAAACUCUUCUCUGGUCGACAGACUGAUGCUUAAUGAUUCCAAAUUAUGGAAAGGCGCUCGGAGUGUGUACCACCAGCUGUUCAUGAGCAGCCUGCUCAUGGAUCUCAAGUAUAAGAAGCUGUUUGCUGUUCGCUUUGCAAAAAAUUACCGGCAGUUGCAGAGAGAUUUUAUGGAGGAUGAUCACGAGCGGGCAGUGUCGGUGACUGCCCUGUCUGUCCAGUUCUUCACCGCACCUACGCUGGCUCGAAUGCUCAUCACAGAAGAGAACCUGAUGACUGUUAUCAUUAAGGCCUUCAUGGAUCAUUUGAAACACAGAGAUGCCCAAGGCAGAUUCCAAUUUGAACGUUACACUGCCCUCCAAGCCUUCAAGUUCAGGAGAGUUCAGAGCCUUAUCUUAGAUCUCAAGUAUGUGUUGAUCAGCAAACCAACGGAGUGGUCAGAUGAGCUGAGGCAGAAGUUCUUGCAAGGCUUCGAUGCCUUCUUGGAAUUACUGAAGUGCAUGCAGGGAAUGGAUCCAAUCACACGGCAGGUAGGACAGCACAUUGAAAUGGAGCCAGAGUGGGAGGCGGCCUUCACGCUGCAAAUGAAACUGACGCACGUGAUUUCCAUGGUGCAGGAUUGGUGUGCUUUGGACGAAAAAGUGUUAAUUGAAGCUUACAAGAAAUGCCUGGCUGUGCUGAUGCAGUGUCAUGGGGGAUUUACUGAUGGGGAACAGCCAAUAACACUCAGUAUUUGUGGACACUCGGUGGAAACGAUCAGAUACUGUGUUUCCCAAGAAAAAGUUAGCAUUCACCUCCCAAUUUCUCGCUUACUUGCAGGUUUGCAUGUGUUAUUAAGCAAAAGUGAAGUGGCAUAUAAAUUCCCCGAGCUCCUACCUCUAAGUGAACUGAGCCCACCCAUGUUGAUAGAGCAUCCUCUUAGAUGUCUUGUCUUAUGUGCCCAAGUGCAUGCUGGGAUGUGGAGAAGAAAUGGCUUCUCUCUAGUAAACCAGAUCUAUUACUACCAUAAUGUGAAAUGCAGGCGGGAGAUGUUCGACAAGGACAUAGUGAUGCUUCAGACAGGUGUCUCCAUGAUGGAUCCAAACCACUUCCUGAUGAUCAUGCUCAGCCGCUUUGAGCUCUAUCAGAUCUUCAGCACGCCUGACUACGGCAAGAGAUUCAGUUCCGAGGUUACCCAUAAGGACGUUGUUCAGCAGAACAACACUCUGAUAGAAGAGAUGCUCUACCUCAUCAUCAUGCUCGUCGGAGAAAGAUUCAGCCCUGGGGUUGGACAGGUGGGCGCCACAGAUGAAAUCAAGCGGGAGAUUAUCCAUCAGCUGAGCAUCAAGCCCAUGGCGCACAGCGAGCUGGUGAAGUCUCUGCCCGAAGACGAGAACAAGGAGACCGGCAUGGAGAGUGUCAUCGAGACCGUAGCACAUUUCAAGAAACCUGGUCUGACAGGACGAGGCAUGUACGAGCUGAAGCCAGAGUGUGCCAAAGAGUUCAACCUGUAUUUUUAUCAUUUCUCCAGGGCAGAGCAGUCCAAGGCGGAGGAAGCUCAGCGGAAGUUGAAAAGAGAAAAUAAAGAAGAUACAGCACUUCCUCCUCCGGCUUUGCCACCGUUCUGCCCUCUGUUCGGGAGCCUGGUUAACAUCUUGCAGUGUGAUGUCAUGCUGUCCAUCAUGGGAACAAUACUGCAGUGGGCUGUAGAGCGCCAUGGGUCUGCCUGGUCAGAGUCUAUGCUGCAAAGGGUGCUGCAUUUGAUUGGGAUGGCGCUCCAGGAAGAGAAGCACCACUUGGAGAAUGCUGUGGAAGGGCACGUGCAGACGUUCACCUUCACGCAGAAGAUUUCAAAACCUGGCGAUGCACCGAAUAACUCCCCAAGCAUCCUCGCUAUGCUAGAGACCUUGCAGAACGCUCCCUCCCUGGAGGUCCACAAGGACAUGAUUAGGUGGUUGCUAAAGAUGUUUAAUACAAUUAAGAAGAUAAGAGAGAGUUCAUCCAGCAGCCCUGUGGCAGAGGCAGAAGGAGCCAUAAUGGAAGAGGUAAUAGAAAACAAGAGCUCAAGAGACAAAGACAAAGCAGAGAGAAAAAGGAAAGCGGAGAUCGCCAGACUGCGCCGAGAGAAGAUCAUGGCUCAGAUGUCCGAGAUGCAGAGGCACUUCAUUGACGAGAACAAAGAGCUCUUCCAGCAGACCAUAGAGCUGGACGCCUCUGCCUCUGCCGCUCUCGACAACAGCCCUCUGGUUCCAGACGCGGCUCUGACAGCAUUGGGUCCGGCACAGACACAGGUCCCUGAGCCCAGACAGUUUGUCACCUGUAUACUGUGUCAGGAGGAGCAGGAGGUCACUGUGGAAAGCAGAGCAAUGGUCUUGGCAGCGUUUGUUCAGAGGUCAACUGUGCUGUCAAAAGACAGAUCGAAAGUCAUUGAGGACCCAGAAAAAUAUGACCCACUAUUCAUGCACCCUGAUCUGUCCUGUGGAACACACACUGGCAGCUGUGGGCACGCCAUGCACGCCCAUUGUUGGCAAAGGUAUUUUGAUUCCGUUCAAGCUAAGGAGCAGCGAAGGCAGCAGCGACUGCGCCUGCACACUAGCUACGAUGUAGAGAACGGCGAGUUCCUCUGCCCGCUCUGUGAGUGCCUGAGCAACACCGUGAUCCCCCUGCUGCUUCCUCCCAGGAGCAUCCUCAGCAGGAGGUUAAAUUUUUCAGACCAACCAGAUCUGGCACAGUGGACCAGAACAAUAGCCCAGCAGAUAAAGGUGAUCCAGAUGCUAAGGAAAGGAGACAGUGCUGCUGACAAGCCCUCUUCAGAGGACACAGAAGACAUGAAUAUAAUUCCCAUCCCAGAAGGCUUCAGGCCUGAUUUUUAUCCUCGGAACCCAUAUUCCGAUAGCAUAAAGGAGAUGCUAACAACGUUUGGAACAGCUACUUACAAGGUGGGACUAAAGGUUCAUCCCAAUGAAGAUGACCCCCGUGUACCCAUCAUGUGCUGGGGGACCUGUGCAUACACUAUCCAGAGCAUAGAAAGAAUUCUGAGUGAGGAGGAAAAGCCCGUGUUCGGACCUCUGCCCUGCAGACUGGACGACUGUCUCAGGUCCUUAACACGCUUUGCAGCAGCACAUUGGACAGUGGCGUUACUUCCCGUGGUACAAGGACACUUCUGUAAACUCUUUGCAUCCUUGGUGCCUAGUGACGGCUCUGAAGACCUCCCGUGCAUAUUAGACAUCGACAUGUUUCAUUUGCUGGUGGGCCUGGUGCUCUCCUUCCCGGCUCUGCAGUGUCAGGAUUUCUCAGGAAGCAGCCUGGCCACGGGAGACCUGCACAUCUUCCACCUGGUUACUCUGGCACACAUCGUACAGAUCUUACUUACCUCAUGUACAGAAGAGAAUGGCAUGGAUCAAGAGAAUCCCACUGGGGAAGAAGAACUCGCCAUUCUCUCUUUGCACAAAACACUUCACCGGUGUACUGGAAGUGCCUUGGACGAAGCCCCAUCCGGCUGGCACCUGUGGAGGAGCGUGCGGGCUGGCAUCCUGCCUUUCCUCAAGUGCUCUGCUCUGUUCUUCCACUAUUUAAAUGGAGUCCCGGCCCCACCAGACCUGCAAGUUUCUGGAGCAAGCCAUUUUGAACAUUUAUGUAACUACCUUUCCCUACCAACCAACCUCAUCCGCCUUUUUCAAGAAAACAGUGACAUCAUGAACUCUCUGAUUGAAAGUUGGUGCCAGAACAGCGAAGUUAAAAGGUAUCUAAACGGCGAGAGAGGAGCGAUAAGGUGAGUUAGAGGAACUGGGAUGUUCGUGUGUGGGUGGUGAGAGGCCACAAUGAGUGUGAAGGCCGUGUUCCUUUGGUGCUAUGGCCCUUGACCUCCUGGCUUUCAGAAGAUGGUGUGCCUGCACACUUCAGUCUCCUGCCAGGCAUUGGACAAGAGCAAAAGUACCCUGCACCCUUGAUAGAGAAAAAACAACCACAUUAACUGUGCUUGGGGAAGUUACGUUAUGGGAAAGUUGCUUUUAGAAAUGUAGCUCUUCACCCAAGUUUGUUGGCUGUUUUUCUGUUUCUCCUCUUUCAUUGUGAGGAAGUUCAGAUGACCCAAAUAUCAGGGAUCGUAUAAUGAGCUUCCAUGAGCUGGUGUCCACUGAGCAGAGGAGACGUUUCCAGCUGGUCAAUUUAGGAGUCACUUGUCACGUGCAGGAUGUGGCUUAGUGGCUACUUACUGGAAGGAGGGAGGGUGACUGUUCAGAAACCACAGACAACCCUGUACCUUCUGUACUCAGGCUUCCUGCCCCCAAGACCAAAGGCUGCUGUGAGCUAGGGAAACGGGGGCUGGAUCUCGGGUGCAGCCUCUGGCUACCCCACCUCCUUCCUGAGGGAGUAAGUGUUCAUACCUUGACAGUGCACAAACCCAGCUACCCCAUGUGCUUCUCACAUAAUUGUGGACCCGCCUGGCGCCCUCCAUGCUCCACGUCAGCUGGGAGGAAGUCAGCUGACCACCACAGCAUCCCCUAGUGACUGUCCAAGACCACUUCUUUCCCUGUUUAUUUCAGCUGUGUCUGAGCAUUAGUUGAACACUGGGCCUUCAGCCAUGAAGGGAUCCGGUGGCCACUCUGAUAAAGGAAAACCUUUGACUGGGGCUGGUUUACAGUUCAGAGGUUUGGUCCCCUGACAGUCUCUGACAGCCCACAGGCAGACAUGGCACUAGAAAGGAAGCUGAGCGUUCUGCAUCUGGAUCCACAGGCACCAGAAGAGGCACCACCACUGGGUCAGACCUGACCUUCUGAGACCUCAGAGCUCGCUCCCUAAUGACACACUUCCUCCAAGCAGCCACACCCACUACUACUACCGCUCCCUUUGAGCCUGUGGAGGCCACUCUCAUUCAAACGGCCACGCACUGGUUGUGCAGCACUUGUGUAAAACGUUCCUCUGCAUCAUACAGGUGUCUCACUGCUCAAGCCUGCUGCUUUCCUUAUUUUUUAAUUUAUUUUAUGUAUGUGAGCACACUGUGGCUGUCUUCAUACACAGCAGAAGAGGGCAUCAGAUCCCAUUACAGAUGGCUGUGAGCCACCAUGUGGUUGCUGGGAUUUGAACUCAGGACCAUCUGGAAGAGCAGUCAGUGUUCUUAACCACUGAGCCAACCAGCCCCCAAACAUGUGGUUGCUGGGAUUUGAACUCAGGACCUCUGGAAGAGCAGUCAGUGCUCUUAACAGCUGGGCCAUGUCUCCAGCCCAAGCCUGCUGUUUCUCGAGUCUACACCACCAUAUUAGGAGACUGGGUGAGCUCGCUGGUACAUACCCAGAGCUGAGAGUGCCUGCUAUGAGGAGCUUGGGCCUUGUGAAGGUUUCACACAUGUAAAUGGUGGCUCCUCAGCCACCCAGCCUGAGCUAGCAGCCUCCCUGUGGAACAGGACAUUCUUCUCGCCUUGGAGUGCUCAGGAUAAUAAUGGCAAGCUGUGAGAGCAUGGACGCCACUCCUGGCACCGUGCUUCUCUAAGGUUGGCGUCCUAGUGUGUGCUCCCUUUAAACUGCAGUGGGUGAUGGUGACUAGAGAGUGCUGUCCAGAGUCUCCCACAGGGAAGUGCAGGCUUGGCUCUCAGGAGCUGGAGAGUGGACACCCACACAGCAUUCCCUGCACUGAGCAGCCGCAGGUGCAACAGCGCCUCACACUGAGAAAGAGGCCCUCGGGUACUGACUGGAUUUGAACUUCCUGUUCUGAGUUUCUUGCGUCACAGGACCAAUGUAGCUGGGAGAGAAAAUGGUUGGUUCUCAUAGUGCCUUCAGAUCACCCUAGUAAGUACACACCUUCCCAUGUCAGUCCUGAGGUUGCAUUGCAGAGCUUCCUGAUACUGUGCCAACCAGUAGAAGCCAAGAGUGGGCGCUCUCGCCUGCUCUCCCACCUUCCACACCCACCAGACUUUUGCCUAAAUGGGCAGAAACUAAAGGCAUUUCUGGGGGCUGGGGAUUUAGCUCAGCGGUAGGUAGAGCGCUUACCUAGGAAGCGCAAGGCCCUGGGUUCGGUCCCCAGCUCCGAAAAAAAGAACCAAAAAAAAAAAAAAAAGGCAUUUCUGAUAAGCUCUUCACUUAUUCUGAGCACACCAAGUGAAGAGUGGGAACUGUUGAGACACUGCCAUCAUAGCCCCACCCACCCCUGCCCACCCGCUCCACUGAAAGAACCUACAACAGAGUGUAGAAGACAGAAUUGGUUUGGUUUGGGUUUUUUUGGUUUUUGGUUUUCUGUGGGGUUUUUCUGUUUUCUUUGGUUUUUUCUUUUUUUGUUGUUGUUGUUUUGUUUUGUUUUGUUUUUGUCUUGUUUUCUAACAUUUUUAUUUGCAAAUGGAUGUUGGUGUGGACAUGCCAUGCCUGUGUGGAGGUCAGAGGACAGCUUGCAGGUGUCAGUUCUCUCCUUCCAACCUAUGGGUUCCCGGAGUUGAACUCGGGUCAUCAGCUUGGCACCAAGCACCUCUGCCUGCCGAGCUGUCUCACCAUGAGCAGUGGACAUAGUCACUGGGACACUCCAAAGGGACAGCCAUUACAGCUACCCGAGAGGAGCCAACAAACUGAUAGACCUUCCGGAGGACUACAGCAGCCUCAUCAACCAAGCUUCCAAUUUCUC